AUAGGGUCAAGUGAAUAAGUGCAUCAGGCGGAUGCCUUGGCGAUGAUAGGCGACGAAGGACGUGUAAGCCUGCGAAAAGCGCGGGGGAGCUGGCAAUAAAGCUAUGAUUCCGCGAUGUCCGAAUGGGGAAACCCACUGCAUUCUGUGCAGUAUCCUAAGUUGAAUACAUAGGCUUAGAGAAGCGAACCCGGAGAACUGAACCAUCUAAGUACCCGGAGGAAAAGAAAUCAACCGAGAUUCCGCAAGUAGUGGCGAGCGAACGCGGAGGAGCCUGUACGUAAUAACUGUCGAGAUAGAAGAACAAGCUGGGAAGCUUGACCAUAGCGGGCGACAGUCCCGUAUUCGAAAUCUCAACAGCGGUACUAAGCGUACGAAAAGUAGGGCGGGACACGUGAAAUCCUGUCUGAAUAUGGGGGGACCAUCCUCCAAGGCUAAAUACUCAUCAUCGACCGAUAGUGAACCAGUACCGUGAGGGAAAGGCGAAAAGAACCCCGGGAGGGGAGUGAAACAGAACCUGAAACCUGAUGCAUACAAACAGUGGGAGCGCCCUAGUGGUGUGACUGCGUACCUUUUGUAUAAUGGGUCAACGACUUACAUUCAGUAGCGAGCUUAACCGGAUAGGGGAGGCGUAGGGAAACCGAGUCUUAAUAGGGCGAUGAGUUGCUGGGUGUAGACCCGAAACCGAGUGAUCUAUCCAUGGUCAGGUUGAAGGUGCCGUAACAGGUACUGGAGGACCGAACCCACGCAUGUUGCAAAAUGCGGGGAUGAGCUGUGGGUAGGGGUGAAAGGCUAAACAAACUCGGAGAUAGCUGGUUCUCCCCGAAAACUAUUUAGGUAGUGCCUCGAGCAAGACACUGAUGGGGGUAAAGCACUGUUAUGGCUAGGGGGUUAUUGCAACUUACCAACCCAUGGCAAACUCAGAAUACCAUCAAGUGGUUCCUCGGGAGACAGACAGCGGGUGCUAACGUCCGUUGUCAAGAGGGAAACAACCCAGACCGCCGGCUAAGGUCCCAAAUGAUAGAUUAAGUGGUAAACGAAGUGGGAAGGCACAGACAGCCAGGAUGUUGGCUUAGAAGCAGCCAUCAUUUAAAGAAAGCGUAAUAGCUCACUGGUCGAGUCGUCCUGCGCGGAAGAUGUAACGGGGCUCAAAUCUAUAACCGAAGCUGCGGAUGCCGGUUUACCGGCAUGGUAGGGGAGCGUUCUGUAGGCUGAUGAAGGUGCAUUGUAAAGUGUGCUGGAGGUAUCAGAAGUGCGAAUGUUGACAUGAGUAGCGAUAAAGCGGGUGAAAAGCCCGCUCGCCGAAAGCCCAAGGUUUCCUACGCAACGUUCAUCGGCGUAGGGUAAGUCGGCCCCUAAGGCGAGGCAGAAAUGCGUAGUCGAUGGGAAACAGGUUAAUAUUCCUGUACUUGAUUCAAAUGCGAUGUGGGGACGGAGAAGGUUAGGUUGGCAAGCUGUUGGAAUAGCUUGUUUAAGCCGGUAGGUGGAAGACUUAGGCAAAUCCGGGUUUUCUUAACACCGAGAAGUGAUGACGAGUGUCUACGGACACGAAGCAACCGAUACCACGCUUCCAGGAAAAGCCACUAAGCUUCAGUUUGAAUCGAACCGUACCGCAAACCGACACAGGUGGGCAGGAUGAGAAUUCUAAGGCGCUUGAGAGAACUCGGGAGAAGGAACUCGGCAAAUUGAUACCGUAACUUCGGGAGAAGGUAUGCCCUCUAAGGUUAAGGACUUGCUCCGUAAGCCCCGGAGGGUCGCAGAGAAUAGGUGGCUGCGACUGUUUAUUAAAAACACAGCACUCUGCCAACACGAAAGUGGACGUAUAGGGUGUGACGCCUGCCCGGUGCCGGAAGGUUAAUUGAAGAUGUGCAAGCAUCGGAUCGAAGCCCCGGUAAACGGCGGCCGUAACUAUAACGGUCCUAAGGUAGCGAAAUUCCUUGUCGGGUAAGUUCCGACCCGCACGAAUGGCGUAACGAUGGCCACACUGUCUCCUCCCGAGACUCAGCGAAGUUGAAGUGGUUGUGAAGAUGCAAUCUACCCGCUGCUAGACGGAAAGACCCCGUGAACCUUUACUGUAGCUUUGCAUUGGACUUUGAAGUCACUUGUGUAGGAUAGGUGGGAGGCUUGGAAGCAGAGACGCCAGUCUCUGUGGAGUCGUCCUUGAAAUACCACCCUGGUGUCUUUGAGGUUCUAACCCAGACCCGUCAUCCGGGUCGGGGACCGUGCAUGGUAGGCAGUUUGACUGGGGCGGUCUCCUCCCAAAGCGUAACGGAGGAGUUCGAAGGUUACCUAGGUCCGGUCGGAAAUCGGACUGAUAGUGCAAUGGCAAAAGGUAGCUUAACUGCGAGACCGACAAGUCGGGCAGGUGCGAAAGCAGGACAUAGUGAUCCGGUGGUUCUGUAUGGAAGGGCCAUCGCUCAACGGAUAAAAGGUACUCCGGGGAUAACAGGCUGAUUCCGCCCAAGAGUUCAUAUCGACGGCGGAGUUUGGCACCUCGAUGUCGGCUCAUCACAUCCUGGGGCUGUAGUCGGUCCCAAGGGUAUGGCUGUUCGCCAUUUAAAGUGGUACGUGAGCUGGGUUUAAAACGUCGUGAGACAGUUUGGUCCCUAUCUGCAGUGGGCGUUGGAAGUUUGACGGGGGCUGCUCCUAGUACGAGAGGACCGGAGUGGACGAACCUCUGGUGUACCGGUUGUAACGCCAGUUGCAUAGCCGGGUAGCUAAGUUCGGAAGAGAUAAGCGCUGAAAGCAUCUAAGCGCGAAACUCGCCUGAAGAUGAGACUUCCCUUGCGGUUUAACCGCACUAAAGGGUCGUUCGAGACCAGGACGUUGAUAGGUGGGGUGUGGAAGCGCGGUAACGCGUGAAGCUAACCCAUACUAAUUGCCCGUGAGGCUUGACUCUAU
rnacentral:rRNA from 1 species